rfam:Brachypodium distachyon strain Bd21 chromosome 2, whole genome shotgun sequence.
UUAGUACUCCCUUCGUCCAACAAAGGAUGUCUCAAGUUGGAUUAAAUUUGAAUGCAUCUAUACACUAAGUUAUGUCUAAAUACAUCCAAAUUUUGACAAACUUGAAACAUCCUUUGUUGGAAGAAGGAAAUAACAU